UCUCCGCUGGUGAACCAGCGGAGGGAUCAUUAUCGAGUUUAUAACUCCCAAACCCUAUGUGAACUUACCACUUGUUGCUUCGGCGCGCGCUUCGGUGCCGCCGAGGACACUUAAACUCUUUGUUUUUAUAAGCAUUUCUGAGUGGCCGAAAGGCAAAAUACAAAUGAAUCAAAACUUUCAACAACGGAUCUCUUGGUUCUG
rnacentral:misc_RNA from 1 species